UUGUUUUCGUCUCUAAAAUGAUUGCUACCCAUUUGUAAACCUUUGAGAUCAAACAACAUCGAUCGUUUUAUAAAACAUUCAGACGAGUAGACUUUCAAAAGAAUCACAAAACUAUUUCUACUUUGAUUUUUUGGACAACGAAAGGCUAUUCUAUUACUCAAGCUUGAGGUGGUCUGGAUAGCCAGACUGGAAUAGAACAACCAAUAAAACAUAAAUUUCUAUAGAAAGACACUAUUUCUACUUUCAUAAAAGGGAACAAAUGACCAUGAAUAUAUAAAACUAUAGUUUUUGAUUACAUGAUGACGAUAAUGAUGUUGUUAUUUGCGGAGGUAUGAAGAAGAAGGAAGCCAUUGAUAUUCAUGCUGAUGAUACCUACACUUGAAAGAUCUGGAUGCUUCCACGGUGAACACACACACUUCUUCUUUCCACCGGUAUCUUCACGGUGACCCACGGUGGCUACAACUUCUGUUGCCACGGUAGAAGUGUGGAAUCUCUCCGGAGCAAUAACAAGAGGAAGAAUCUUUUGUAACACAUUUAUUUGUCUUGCACUCAAAAUAAAAAAAAAACGAAGAAGAUUUUGUAUGGUUUUAUCAAAAGAAAGACUAUAAAAUACUAGUCAC
rnacentral:lncRNA from 1 species